CACCUGUUGGGAGAGGAAGGCAAGAAAGCCAUGUAGGAGCCCCUCCGUGAAAAGGGCGUUUUAUUCCGAAAAAGAACCGGCGGGGGCUCAGCACUUGGAGCCAUUUUAGGGGGAGUUUCGGAUGUAGCGAGCUUUCCCUCGUUUCUCCACCUCUAAGGUCACGGUCACAGGAGACUGGGCAACUCCAGUUCUCCCUGUCCCCAGCCCUUCGCCUAGCCCUGGCAAAACCCAUUGCAUCAGCAGCUUCUACAGCUUCCGCCUGCGCCCUACCUGCCAAGCUUGGACAGGAAGAGGGAAGGAAAGAGAAACUUUACUCCAAUCCCCCCCUCCUCUGCUAACCUCCCCUCCCACCCUCGGGCCCUAACUAGCCCCUGGGACGCCUCCUCCCCACCAACGCAUCCAUCCCCAGAGGAACAAGCGAGGAUCUCAGAGCGCGACCUGGGCAGGCUCUCACGAAAGUCACCACAUUUGUGUAGGUAACUAAGGCCUACCGAAACCACUCAGCCCUAAGUGCACACAGGAGAACCAUGGAGUUGGAGGAAAAGGUUGGAGCUGGGAGCUUCUGAUUCAGCCACGUGUGUGCUGUUUCCAUAGUUAUAUGAUCAGAGUGACUAAUUCAUCAAAGAUAAGUUUCUAAAGCCUCAUGGAGUAAUAUCUCUGCACUGAUAACACUCUUUCUUCCUUUAAGAUUGGUGUGUGUUUUCUCUGUCUUUUAUAAAACACCCAAAAUAAUCCAGAAGGUCUUUAAGCGUCAUUCAAUUCAUCACCAUUUAUUACUAUUCUGUGCAAAAAGAAUAUGCUAAGCAUUUUACAUACAUGAUUUUAAUUUUACAACAUUCAUAGGAGGUUUUAUAAUCUCCAUUUUACAAAGGGAGAAAUAGAAGCAUAGAUAGCUGAAUUAUUAAUUUGCCAAUUAUUAACUUGCUAAGUACAUAAUCAGAAAAUAAUGGAGUUAGGAUUCAAAUCCAUGUUUGUCUAAUUUCCAAGUUCACAAAAAAAUUUCUGUUACACUGUCUCUCUCUCUCUAUAUAUAUAUGUCAUAUAUAUGUGACAUAUGUAUGACAUUGGAGGCUGUCAUUCAUUAUCUGAAUUUCAGAGACAUUUAUAGAAUAUCUGAUUUUGAAUCUAUAAGAUAUAGUCUCUCUAUAAAGAUUUUGAUUUGUCUUCAGACACACAAAGAUUAGCUAAGCAUGUGUUUGACCAUGUAGCAAACACUAGAGAUACAAUGUUGAGAUACAGUCUAAUAAAACAGAGAACUGUAAAAAUCAAAUUAAAUAAUUGUAAUUCAGCGAUUGCUGUGAAAGGUAAGUCCUCACUUCUCAGCUCUGGAAGACCCUGAUGAGCAAUACAAGCUGUUAAAUCUUAUGUCAGUCCUUGCAGAGAUCAUCCUGAAUCAGGGGCUUGCACAAAGACCAUGUAUAAAGGAAACUGAAAAACAACCACCACCUCCCUCUACUUCUUGUUGAGCACAUGUUCAGUGUUGAGUGAGUGAGUCACAUGAGCUUGCAAAUGAAGCAAGUGUUUUAGGGAGAGAGAAAAAUAAGUUUGUGGGCAAAUGACUCCAUCGUUUCCUAGGGUUAAUGAUACCGAUUUUGCUCCAUGGCAUGUAAGAACAGUGGCUUUGAGAAGUAGUUGGUAAUCAGCAGCAAAAGGCCAAGGAUAGCAUCUGUGGUAAUGAGAGAAAGUUUCUUGAAGUUUCUCUGUCCACAAAUAGGAAGACUUUGAUUUAUCUUCAUUUAUCCAAUCUUUGAGUUUGGAACAAUUUGUACACACAGUACCUUAAACAGCAAGCUUAGCAGAUCUGAAAAAGUUAUACUUAGGGUGUCAGGAUCAGUUGCUGGUAUUUGAAUUGAGAGAGGGAAAGCGAGUGGGAGUAAGGACCAGAAAAGUGUGUCCCCAACUUGCCCGAUCGUAAACUCUACUUGGGCUUGUAUCAGUUAAUUAUGUCUGUAACUUGUUUAUAUGGCAACCUCAUCUGUACCGAUUGCAUUUGUUUAGUUCCCACUGUAAGGUGGAUGGGGAUGAGCUGGUCUAGAUGAAGCUUGGCGGAUAGGGUCGCUCGUCUUUGGUCUCAGCUGGGCUGGCUCAUGAGUCUCUGGUUGCCUAUUCUGAGUUGGGCACAGCAGAGGUUUACAUGUCUCUCAUCCUUCUCCCGAGACAGUGGUUAGCUAAGGCACCUUCUUCUCACCACAGUGUCGAAGGUGCCAGAAUCAAUGCAAGUGCCCAAGUGCUUUCUAAAUUUUGGUCCAAGAAUAUCUGAUAUUCUAUUGCACAGAGGGCAGGUACAAAGGAACGUGAAGAACUGGAGCCCAUUACUAUGUUCUACCCUAGGUCCCUUAUUAAAUAUGUUCAGUCUAAACAUACAUAAAUAUACUAAUAUAGAAAUAUU